AACGAACGCUGGCGGCGUGGAUAAGACAUGCAAGUCGAACGGGGAUAAGUUUGUAGCAAUACACGCCUAUUCUAGUGGCGAACGGGUGCGUAACACGUGAGCAAUCUGCCGGGAAGUGGGGGAUAGCUCGCCGAAAGGCGAAUUAAUACCGCAUGUGGCCAAGGAGGACAUCCUCCUGACGCCAAAGUCGCAAGACGCUUCCUGAUGAGCUCGCGGCCUAUCAGCUAGUUGGUGAGGUAAUGGCUCACCAAGGCUAUGACGGGUAGCUGGUCUGAGAGGACGACCAGCCACACUGGAACUGAGACACGGCCCAGACACCUACGGGUGGCAGCAGUCGAGAAUUUUUCACAAUGGGGGAAACCCUGAUGGAGCGACGCCGCGUGGAGGAUGAAGGUCUUCGGAUUGUAAACUCCUGUCAUGCGGGAACAAGAAAGUGAUAGUACCGCAAGAGGAAGAGACGGCUAUCUCUGUGCCAGCAGCCGCAGUAA
rnacentral:rRNA from 1 species